rnacentral:rRNA from 1 species
GUACACUCCUGCGGGAGGCAGCAGUGAGGAAUAUUGGACAAUGGGUGGAAGCCUGAUCCAGCCAUCCCGCGUGCAGGAAGACGGCCCUAUGGGUUGUAAACUGCUUUUAUCUGGGGAUAAACCUACUUACGUGUAAGUAGCUGAAGGUACCAGAAGAAUAAGCACCGGCUAACUCCGUGCCAGCAGCCGCGGUAAUACGGAGGGUGCAAGCGUUAUCCGGAUUUAUUGGGUUUAAAGGGUCCGUAGGCGGACUGAUAAGUCAGUGGUGAAAUCCGACAGCUUAACUGUCGAACUGCCAUUGAUACUGUUAGUCUUGAGUAAGGUUGAAGUGGCUGGAAUAAGUAGUGUAGCGGUGAAAUGCAUAGAUAUUACUUAGAACACCAAUUGCGAAGGCAGGUCACUAAGUCUUAACUGACGCUGAUGGACGAAAGCGUGGGGAGCGAACAGGAUUAGAAACCCCGGUAGUCCC